UGGGGAAUUUUGGACAAUGGGGGAAACCCUGAUCCAGCCAUCCCGCGUGUGCGAUGAAGGCCUUCGGGUUGUAAAGCACUUUUGGCAGGAAAGAAACGUCAUGGGUUAAUACCCCAUGAAACUGACGGUACCUGCAGAAUAAGCACCGGCUAACUACGUGCCAGCAGCCGCGGGAAUACGUAGGGGGCAAGCGUUAAUCGGAAUUACUGGGCGUAAAGCGUGCGCAGGCGGUUCGGAAAGAAAGAUGUGAAAUCCCAGAGCUCAACUUUGGAACUGCAUUUUUAACUACCGGGCUAGAGUGUGUCAGAGGGAGGUGGAAUUCCGCGUGUAGCAGUGAAAUGCGUAGAUAUGCGGAGGAACACCGAUGGCGAAGGCAGCCUCCUGGGAUAACACUGACGCUCAUGCACGAAAGCGUGGGGAGCAAACAGG
rnacentral:rRNA from 1 species